rnacentral:rRNA from 1 species
AUGGCCCUCCAAAUUUACUGCUCAUAUUGGCCCUCCCAAAUCCUCCUUCAUUUCACAGCUGGGCCGAUUUGCCACGGCCUGCCUGGCAGUACACGCAGGCCCAGCCCGUGGUCCUCCAGUCCGGCGCCAACCCGGCCUCGUUCGUUCACGGCAAAACAAAACGCGACCACCCAACCCGACCAGACCAGACCAGGACAAACCCAGGCUCAGCAGCUCGUGCCCCCGUCCCGUCCGACCCCCCUUCCUCUCCGCCCCGCCUCCAUGGACGCGUACCACCACCACCAGCGCCGCUUCGACGGCUCCGGCUCCGGCGACGCGCCGCCGCCGCAGCCCCCUCCGCCCUCCAACUGGUAUCCCAGCCCCGCGCCGCCGUACCACCCUCCCCACCCCAACCACCCGUACCCUCCCCAGCACCACCAGUGGGGCCACCCGCCCCCCGACCUCCAGCACCAGCACCGCCCUCCGCCUCCGCUGCAGUACGCGUACCAGCCCCCUCCCCCGCCGAUGCAGCAGCAGAUGCAGCCGCCGCCGCCCGCGCCCGGGAACCCCUGGCCUCCUCACCACGCUGCGGCCCAGCCCCCGCCGCAGAGCUACCCGCCUCCGCCUCCGCCUCCGGGACAGGCUUGGCCGAAUCAUUCAUGGCCUCAAAAUCAUGGAUACCCAGGGCUUGCCAAUGAGGACGAUUGGGCCACAAAGGCAAAGGAAUGGGCUUCUGCUAAAUCUGUUACAGAGAACCACCAGAUUCAGCAGCAUGCCAUUCCAAGUAGAACAGAAAUUCACCAUUAUGGCCACAAUGAUCAGUAUCAGCAACCAGCUGGUCUGCCGGCAGAACCUUUACACCCACCAAUUCCACAAUCAAGUAGCGACCAGUUGCUGUUUCAAAUGUCAGGUCAACAGAGGGAAACAAACUAUUUGCAAGAUAGAGGUCCAAUGGCGCCACCACCGAAGAAUUUUGGUCCAUUUCCAUCCACCUAUGAGCAGGAGGUACCUUAUAAUUAUUCUUCUGCUCAAGGUAAUGGGAAUGCUAUGCUUCAAUAUCCAAGCCCACAAGCUCAGCCAUCUCUGAGUGCUUCAUCAGUUCAAGACGGAUUUCCUCGCGGGCCUCCUGGUGUGCCUGGGCAUGGUUUACAGUCUUAUAGGAUGAUGGCUGAUCCCAGUGACCAACCCUUGGAGUUCAAUGACAGAAAAGCUCCUGAUAUGGCAGUACAUGAGACAAUAAAUAUCAGAUCUAGUGCUCCAACAGCAGUGUCUGAACAUGGCACAGUUCCAACAUCAACUCAAUCAUGGGGCCCAUCUGCUCCAGUUGGAUAUUUUCAUCCAGCUCCAGUACCACCACAAGCAUCACAGAUGGAUCCUUCUUUGCAUGCUGGACCACUCUUUGGAGCACUCUCUGGUUCGAACUAUGUUCCACCUGCAGCAUUUGGUGUUGGUAGUGUAACUGAAGCAUUCCCUACAGACCCAAACACUCUUUUCAAUGUUGCAGAACGGUCAAAGAAACCUCCAGUACCUAACUGGCUUCGAGAAGAGCUUCUAAAAAAAAAAUCCACUCCAGUGAGUUCUUCAGUGCAGCAUUCGACAAAUUAUGAUUCCAUGGAUUCUGAAGAUGCUGCGGAACCACCAAAAAGAGCUGACCAAACUGAUAGUAGAAGCAUUGGUUCAGCAAAAUCAAUCGUAGCUGAUGAGGAUGAAGUUGAAGCGGCACGGACGGCAGCAAUCAACAAGGAAAUUAAACGUGUGUUGACAGAAGUUCUUCUAAAGGUUACUGAUGAUCUUUUUAACGAGAUUGCAACCAAAGUUAUGAAUGAAGAUGAUUCAUCAGCUGAACCAAAUGAGACCACUGGUGUCUCUAGCUCAAAGGACCUUGGUCUGGGAGAAUCAAAAGUCAAGACCACAGCUAAAGUUGUAGUCCCUGCUAAGCUAAACAAUGUUAGCUCUACUGGUCGUUCUGAUGGUAAUGGGCUAAGUUCUCCUAAAGGUGCUCUUCUUGGUCUUGCUAGUUAUGAUUCAGAUGACGAGGAUGAUGAGGCUGACGGUGAUGGUAAGGAUUUAAUUUCAAAUUUAUCAUCCGAAAUGAAAGUUGAUGCAGCUCAUCCUAAAGAAAGUGAGAAUGUUGAUGGUGAACUGCACAAUAAUAGUAAUGGAAGUAUUGCUUCAGUCCAAAGUGUUUCAUCCGGAGAUGAUCCUAAAUCCAGUGACAAAAGAUCUCAGAGUAGGCCAACUGCAGAAUCUGAACGAGAGCCAAGUAUUCAUGACACACAGAAUGGAGAAGCCAAAACUUCUAUUCAGCCAAUUGGUGUGAUUCAUAAAACGAAUGAGAAGGCACAUGGACAUGCAGAGGUGGAUUUCCAAAAUGGAAAAACCUCUUCCGGCCAUCAUACUGAAAAUAAUAAUAAUAAUAAUGCGGAGAGCACUCACAGGCAUUUUGAAAGGAACAGUCAUGAGAAAGAUCUUAAAGAGGUGAAGGUUGUCAAUGGGAAAGACUCUGAGCCUUCUAGAACUGACAAGUUUAGAGAUGGUGACAAGCAUAGCAUGCCUGAAAAUAUUGAUAAAAAAGGCACCCACAAAGAGGAAAAGGGUUCUGGCAGGUAUGCAAAACAUGGAUUGGAUAGAUGGGAUGAUGCCAAAAGAGAUCGAAAGGACCUUCCAAAGGAUACAAGAGAGAGAAAGAGGGAUUCUGCUGAUAGAAGAGACAUAGGAAAAGAUGGGAAUGACGACAGAUCAAGGCAAAUUACUAAGAGCUCAGCUAGCCACAGCAGUAGAAGGUCACGGUCACGGUCACCAAGUGGGAGAAGCCGUACUAGGAAUGAGAGUUCUUCACGUGUUCGAGGGAGUGUUUCAAGCGACGAGCCUUCUGAUAAUGCAAAAAGGAGAAAGAGCCAUUCUCGUAAAAACAGCAUGUCCCCCUCACCUCCAAAAUCUAGGAGCAGACGAGUUUCGCGGUCUCCACAUAGCAAGCAUUCUCACCGCAGGCAUUCACCUUAUUCAUCUGCUGAAAGGAAGAAGCGGUCCAGAUCUAGAACUCCGGUCAAGAGGAGGUAGAAGAAAGUAGGUGGUUUUGUUUGUUUCAACUAGGGUUUCUUGCCCUUUGUCCUUCCGAUGAAGAAACAGCAUUUGAAUGCCCACGAAACAAUGAUGCUGGAUCGAGCUUCCAACAAAGAAGAUGACUCGACGACCCACGUGAUGGAUGUUGUUCGAAGGAUGAUGCAUGGUGCCCAGCGGAAGAUAUGUCCAGUUUGCCAAUAUUAGGAUAUGUAAUGUUCUGUACAAGCAGCGGACUUCAUAAUUUGUAGCUCUAGCAUCCCUUUUAACUACUUUAUUACUUGUAUUUUCUCUUGGGGUCAUGUAGUACUAGUAUGCAAGGAGACUGGCCGAGUUUCGUCGGGACAUGCUGCGAUGUAAUUUUGUAUUGUUAUAUGUGCUCAUCGCCUAUCCCUGAAUCAUAAUUAGGUCUGGAAAAUGUGUUGCAGGCCUCCACAUGUAAUUUGUACUUCCUC